AUUGAACGCUGGCGGCAGGCCUAACACAUGCAAGUCGAGCGAGCGGCGGACGGGUGAGUAAUGUCUGGGAAACUGCCUGAUGGAGGGGGAUAACUACUGGAAACGGUAGCUAAUACCGCAUACCAUCAGAUGUGCCCAGAUGGGAUUAGCUAGUUGGUGGGGUAACGGCCUACCAAGGCGACGAUCAGUAGCUGGUCUGAGAGGAUGAUCAGCCACAUUGAGACAGAGACACGGCCCAAACUCCUGCGGGAGGAAGCAGUGGAGGAUAUUGGACAAUGGGGGCAACGCAGAUCAAGCCAUGCCGCGAAAGUGAUGAAGGCCCUAGGGUAGUAGAGCUCUUUUGUGCGGGAGGCGGUACCGCAAGAAGAAGCCCCGGCUAACUUCGUGCCAGCAGCCGCGGUAAUUC
rnacentral:rRNA from 1 species